UACGUAGGUGGCAAGCGUUGUUCGGAAUUAUUGGGCGUAAAGGGCGCGUAGGCGGUUUUGUUAAGUCAGCUGUGAAAGCCCGGGGCUCAACCCCGGAGGGUCAGCUGAUACUGGCAGACUAGAGUACAGAAGAGGUAACUGGAAUUCCCGGUGUAGCGGUGAAAUGACGUAGAUAUCGGGAGGAACACCUGAGGCGGAAGGCGGGUUACUGGGCUGAUACUGACGCUGAUGCGCGAAAGCCAGGGGAGCAAACGGG
rnacentral:rRNA from 1 species